UACAGGGGGUGCAAACGUUGCUCGGAAUCAUUGGGCGUAAAGCGCACGUAGGCGGUUCGUUAUGUCGGAUGUGAAAGCCCUUGGCUUAACCGAGGAAGUGCAUCCGAAACUGGAUGGCUAGAGUCCUGGAGAGGAAGGUGGAAUGCUUGGUGUAGAGAUGAAAUUCGUAGAUAUCAAGCGGAACACCGGUGGCGAAGGCGGCCUUCUGGACAGUGACUGACGCUGAGACGCGAAAGCGUGGGGAGCAAACAGG
rnacentral:rRNA from 1 species